rnacentral:rRNA from 1 species
AACGAACGCUGGCGGCAUGCCUAACACAUGCAAGUCGAACGCCCCGCAAGGGGAGUGGCGAACGGGUGAGUAACGCGUGGGAACCUACCCAGCAGUUGGGGAUAACCGCGGGAAACUGCGGCUAAUACCGAAUACGUCCUAAGGGAGAAAGAUUUAUCGCUGUUGGAGGGGCCCGCGUCGGAUUAGCUAGUUGGUGAGGUAACGGCUCACCAAGGCAUCGAUCCGUAGCUGGUCUGAGAGGAUGAUCAGCCACACUGGGACUUAGACACGGCCCAGACUCCUACGGGAGGCAGCAGUGGGGAAUAUUGGACAAUGGGGGCAUCCCUGAUCCAGCAAUGCUGCGUGAGUGAUGAAGGCCUUAGGGUUGUAAAGCUCUUUUGCCGGGGACGAUGAUGACGGUACCCGGAGAAUAAGCCCCGGCUAACUUCGUGCCAGCCGCCGCCGUAAUAC